rnacentral:rRNA from 1 species
GACGAACGCUGGCGGCGUGCUUAACACAUGCAAGUCGAACGGUAAGGCCCUUCGGGGUACACGAGUGGCGAACGGGUGAGUAACACGUGGGUGAUCUGCCCUGCACUUCGGGAUAAGCCUGGGAAACUGGGUCUAAUACCGGAUAGGACCACUGCCUGCAUGGGUGGUGGUGGAAAGCUUUUGCGGUGUGGGAUGGGCCCGCGGCCUAUCAGCUUGUUGGUGGGGUGAUGGCCUACCAAGGCGACGACGGGUAGCCGGCCUGAGAGGGUGACCGGCCACACUGGGACUGAGUGACGGCCCAGACGGCUACGGGAGGCAGCAGUGGGGAAUAUUGCACAAUGGGCGCAAGCCUGAUGCAGCGACGCCGCGUGAGGGAUGACGGCCUUCGGGUUGUAAACCUCUUUCAGCACCGACGAAGCGCAAGUGACGGUAGGUGCAGAAGAAGGACCGGCCAACUACGUGCCAGCAGCCGCCGCAG